rfam:Citrobacter koseri ATCC BAA-895, complete genome.
UAUCCUUGGUUUCCGGCAAAAAUGACUAUCCCCCAGCCGGAGCAUAUUAAUGA